rnacentral:rRNA from 1 species
UCGCCUGUUUAUCAAAAACAUGGUUUCUUGAUAUUUAUAAGAGAUUUAACCUGCCCACUGAGGAUUUUAAAGGGCCGCAGUAUUUUGACUGUGCAAAGGUAGCAUAAUCAUUAGUCUUUUAAUUAAAGGCUGGUAUGAAUGGUUGGACGAGGUAAAAACUGUCUUAUUUUAUAUGAAAAUUGAAUUUAGAUUUUAAGUAAAAAGACUUAAAUGUUAUUAAGGGACGAGAAGACCCUAUAGAGUUUAAUAUACGUAGUUUUUAUCAAGUUAAAAAUUAAUUUUUGAUUAUUAUAAAGUUUAUUUAAUUGGGGUGAUUAAAAGAUAUGAUAAACUCUUUUUUAAUUUUAAUAUUAUAAAUAGUUUUAAGAUCCAUAUGUAGUGAUUAUAAGAUUAAAUUACCUUAGGGAUAACAGCAUAAUUCUUUUUGAGAGUUCAAAUUGAGAAGAGAGAUUGUGACCUCGAUGUUGGAUUAAGAUAAAUUAUGGGUGUAGAUGUUCAAUAAUUAAGUCUGUUCGACUUUUAAAUUCUUACAUGAUCUGAGUUCAAACCGGAGA